AGAGAUGGUGUUUCACCAUGUUGGCAAAGCUGAUCUCAAACUCUCCACCUCAGGUGACCCGCCUGCCUCAGUCUACCAAAAUCCUGGGAUUACAGGUGUGAGCCAUGGCGCCCGGCCAGAGCUUAAGUUUAGACAAAAGCAUAAAAAAUAACGUCUAAAAACAGCACACAGUCAGGAUGAACAACAAAUCUGGACCAAUACAAUGGGGAGGACAAAAAGAUGUGAAUAAAUGGACUGACAUUUCAUGUUCCUGGAGAGAACUUAGUAUCCCAUCCCACAUUGUUUCGCGAUUUAACAUUAACAUUUAUACAAAAGUUAUUAAUUAUAACAAAAGUUAUUGAUUAGAAUUAACUUGAUUAGAAAAACCUGGAAAAACAUACCCUAAAGUGCAGCCAGGUGAUCACUCUUCUUGAUCACCUAUGUAGUGUUUCAUAGGGUACUCUGGUGUGAAUACCACUUUCCAAAGCUCUUUCACUUUGCAUUUUUCUUUGUAUCCAGAAUUGAUAAAAUUACCAGGACUAUUUCACAGUAAUCAGACUUAGAAAAUCUUAACACUAACUAGACGCUAAGGCUAUACAUUCUUAUAAUGUCUCAAGUCUAUUGCUGGCCAUCAGGAGCACCUGGAUACGCAGAAUACGUGAAAGUUUGCGAAAAAGGAAUCAAAGCAACAGGAGGAGUCUGGUUUGAACGGUUAUUUCAUCCAAAUAACAUUAAGGACUGCUAACUGGUUUCUGCCCCACAAAACUACCCUUUAUACAUGUCUCCAAACUAUAACGCAGGUCCUCCUGGGGCAACGGUUAGAUAAAUUAACAAAUUCUUAGACUUUGCGCUCCCUUUUCCAAACUCGAAAUCGACCACUCCCCAUUUGUUAACAGAAACUUUUAAUGUAACUGAUUAGAUUUCUAAUCUUUCCUAGGGAGAACCAGUUCAAUUCUAAAAGAGUUGGUCACAUGGGUUGCUAAAUUAAAAUAUAAAGCAUUUCCUAACAGGGAAGGGAGGCUCGUCAAUUGUGGUUAUUUUUAUCAGUAACUUUAAAUAUGGAUUCAUAGAUUAUCAAUUUAUGGCUGGCCUGGGUGUUAGAAGAUGACCUAAUCCCAUCCCCAUUUUCAUGUAAAAAACUGAAACUACAGCUCUGUAAAGUCAAAUGAUUUAAAAUCAUCUGACUAGGCCGAGAAAGGAUUAGAUCUCUAGAGCAUUACGGUAACAAUCUUUCGCAAACUGGUAGCAUUAUCUGGCGACCCUGCUUUUCUGAAAAUCUUGUCAAUUAUUCAGUUCCUUAAAUUCCGUCAGUUACAACAGAUGCAUCAGCUCUUUCCACACUAACUUGAAAGAAGCACAUUAGAAAAUAGUCCUGACUUGUUUCUUGAGAUCAGUAACUAAUGAACUGACCUCCACCAGUCCUGCCUCAGGUCGUUAAUGGUAAAAAUUCUGUAUGUCGGCCGCGUUUUGAGGCCUGCCCAGGGUGCCUGUGAUUCCUACACGUCGGAGCCGCAGGGAUUUUCAGUACAUGCCCUCAGGUGGGCGCCGCAGCCACAGACACUGGUCCCUGGCAUUUGGAAACAGGACAGGUGGUCCGAAGGGCUAAGGGGUUUUUCCUGCAACCUUUAAAUUACAAGCAAGAAAAACGUAGGUUUUAUUUCGGGCACAAGAAUGGAAUGAAUUCGGAAAAGGAAAACUAGAGGCCUGCGGGGGAAGGAGGCACAAGCGCGAGAAGAAAGGGAAAGGCUUUUCUCUCUGGUGACGCGCGAUCACGAGGCGUUUUCUCUACGUGGACGCUCACCAUUGGCGGAGACCGAACUGACGUCCCGGAACUCGUCCGGACGCGAACGGCGCCAAGGCGGUCCUGCCCUGAAAGUCGGCGAGGCGCGCGCGCUCCCGCGGCACGCCGCGCCUCCGCCCUCCGCCCGCCAACCCGCUGGUCCAGUCGUUCUUCGCGCCCGCUUGGCUCCGCCCCCUUCCCAGCUCGCUCCUCCCCCACCAGACUGGCGGCGCGCGGAAAACGCGUCACGUGACGACUGGCCCCGCCUCUUCCUCUCGGUCCCAUAUUGAACUCGAGUUGGAAGAGGCGAGUCCGGUCUCAAAAUGGAGGUAAAACCGCCGCCCGGUCGCCCCCAGCCCGACUCCGGCCGUCGCCGUCGCCGCCGGGGGGAGGAGGGCCAUGAUCCAAAGGAACCAGAGCAGUUGAGAAAACUGUUUAUUGGUGGUCUGAGCUUUGAAACUACAGAUGAUAGUUUAAGAGAACAUUUUGAGAAAUGGGGCACACUCACAGAUUGUGUGGUAAUGAGAGACCCCCAAACAAAACGUUCCAGGGGCUUUGGUUUUGUGACUUAUUCUUGUGUUGAAGAGGUGGAUGCAGCAAUGUGUGCUCGACCACACAAGGUUGAUGGGCGUGUAGUGGAACCAAAGAGAGCUGUUUCUAGAGAGGAUUCUGUAAAGCCUGGUGCCCAUCUAACAGUGAAGAAAAUUUUUGUUGGUGGUAUUAAAGAAGAUACAGAAGAAUAUAAUUUGAGAGACUACUUUGAAAAGUAUGGCAAAAUUGAAACCAUAGAAGUUAUGGAAGACAGGCAGAGUGGAAAAAAGAGAGGAUUUGCUUUUGUAACUUUUGAUGAUCAUGAUACAGUUGAUAAAAUUGUUGUUCAGAAAUACCACACUAUUAAUGGGCAUAAUUGUGAAGUGAAAAAGGCCCUUUCUAAACAAGAGAUGCAGUCUGCUGGAUCACAGAGAGGUCGUGGAGGUGGAUCUGGCAAUUUUAUGGGUCGUGGAGGAAACUUUGGAGGUGGUGGAGGUAAUUUUGGCCGUGGUGGAAACUUUGGUGGAAGAGGAGGCUAUGGUGGUGGAGGUGGUGGUAGCAGAGGUAGUUAUGGAGGAGGUGAUGGUGGAUAUAAUGGAUUUGGAGGUGAUGGUGGCAACUAUGGCGGUGGUCCUGGUUAUAGUAGUAGAGGGGGCUAUGGUGGUGGUGGACCAGGAUAUGGAAACCAAGGUGGUGGAUAUGGUGGCGGUGGUGGAGGAUAUGAUGGUUACAAUGAAGGAGGAAAUUUUGGCGGUAACUAUGGUGGUGGUGGGAACUAUAAUGAUUUUGGAAAUUAUAGUGGACAACAGCAGUCAAAUUAUGGACCUAUGAAAGGGGGCAGUUUUGGUGGAAGAAGCUCGGGCAGUCCCUAUGGUGGUGGUUAUGGAUCUGGUGGUGGAAGUGGUGGAUAUGGUAGCAGAAGGUUCUAAAAACAGCAGAAAAGGGCUACAGUUCUUAGCAGGAGAGAGAGCGAGGAGUUGUCAGGAAAGCUGCAGGUUACUUUGAGACAGUCGUCCCAAAUGCAUUAGAGGAACUGUAAAAAUCUGCCACAGAAGGAACGAUGAUCCAUAGUCAGAAAAGUUACUGCAGCUUAAACAGGAAACCCUUCUUGUUCAGGACUGUCAUAGCCACAGUUUGCAAAAAGUGCAGCUAUUGAUUAAUGCAAUGUAGUGUCAAUUAGAUGUACAUUCCUGAGGUCUUUUAUCUGUUGUAGCUUUGUCUUUUUCUUUUUCUUUUCAUUACAUCAGGUAUAUUGCCCUGUAAAUUGUGGUAGUGGUACCAGGAAUAAAAAAUUAAGGAAUUUUUAACUUUUCAAUAUUUGUGUAGUUCAGUUUUUCUACAUUUUAGUACAGAAACUUUAACAAAAUGCAGUUUUGAAGGUGUUUCCUUGUGAGUUAACAAGUAAAGAAGAUCAUUGUUAAUUACUAUUUUGUAUGAAUUUUGCUAAAGUUAACUGUAAAGAAACACCUGCUGACUUGCAGUAUAAGGGGAAUCUAUAGUCUCCCCAUUUCCAAACCAUGAUAUGAAUGGGCGCUGACAUGUGGAGAGAAUAGAUAAUUUGUGUGUUUGCAAUGUGUGUUUUAGAUAAAUAGGAUUGGGUAUUUAAAUUAGCAUUUGUGAAUUUAAUAGCAUUAAGAUUACCUUCAAAUGAAAAAAAUCUCAAAAUUUCUAUUUGGUUUUUGUGCAUUUUCUUUUAAAAUGUAAUCAUAUGAUUUUAGUGUGUUAGACUUGCUGAGUCCUAGCUGUGUUUAGAACAUCUCCAUACAUUUACCUUGGUCAAAUUUGAACUGCUGCCAUAGGUUUUGGGUGUAAAGAAUGUUUACUGCCCUCCAUUUAAAUUCUGAAAAGGGAUAGUGGAUGUUUUCCGUCUCCUAUGUUAGAAACUAUUCUUAAAAACUUUUCAGAAUAUAGAACCAUUAAGCCUGCUAUAUCUGAGCAAAUUAGUGGGUACCUUUUCUUUUUCUUUUUUUAAAGCACAAGAGGCCCAUAAAUCUUGAGUUAUUUUCCUUAGUUUAAUUUUUUUUUGAUACAAGUUUUCAGAGCAAGAGAAUAAAAAUGAUGCGUUAUUAAACCCCUAACUGGCUGGCAUGCUUUCCUGUUUGUAUUCUAUACAUUUUGCUGGAUGAAACCAAGGAUAGUUUAGGUAUAAUUGUCCAAAAUAACCUAACUGCAGCAGAAAUGUAGCACAGUUGCUUAGUACAGGCUUCUCACUUCCUACAGACCUGAAUUCAAAUUUGAAUAGUCUUGAGUUCAUAAAUGCCCAAAGAACACACUGUUAUUUCUUGUGUAUAUUUCAACGUAAAUCAUGUUGUUACCAAUUGGUUCGGAAGGCCCUGGUUGAGAAGACUUUUAGAUAAUAAGGUCAUAUAUAUAUAUAGUAAUAUAAGCCAAUGUCUACUGUUUUGCGCCAGCUAGUGCUUACAAUUUCAUUUGAGCCCUGAGUAUGUGCCCUGCUGUUACUCUUUCUUUGGUAGUUGAACGUUGAAUUCAAGUCUUUCUUUUUGUUUUAAGAAGUACUAAGCAAACAAGCAAUAAAAAGGGGAAUGGGGCGUGCUAGUGUUUGAAUAUGCUCUCUUGUUGCUCUAAUUCUGUGCCUCUGUGCAUUAAUAUUUGGAUGCAUGCAAUGCCAGCAUGGAAAUUGGUCUUCACACAUACUGCAGUUUUCCAGAAACAUUCACAAAACAAUAAAUGUAACAGACAUUCCAUUUGUUAAUGGGCAUAUAUGUGAAAAGCAGUGUAGAAAAUAGGCUAAUAUUAGAAAAUGGUUAAGUCCUUAAUAACUUCAAGUGUGGUUAUAUAAUGGACACUGUCAAUGUUUAUAACUUAAACCUGGGUACCUGGUCAAAAUAAUGCUUGGGAAACAUUAAAAUUGAGCUAAAUUGUCUCAAGUUCUUUUAUUCAUAUAAAUAAAGUUUAAAGGAAUGGGGGAGAUUAACAUUUCCUGUUUUAUGUUUGUGAAAUUGUUUGACACAACCUUGACAGUAUCCUUUAAUGGCAUGAGGUUAAUUGUACUGUUAACCAACUUUCUAUGUUCUGGAACUAGUAUUAUAGUGAAAACAUUUGCAGUAAGUUGAUGUUUACAACCUAUAAGCAGGUGAAAUCUGUGUAUGUGACCUGUUUAUAAGUUGUAUUAGCUUAGAUCUUGUGAACAGUGUGGAAAAGUAAGCCAUGAGGAGAGCGAUUUAACCAGCUUUAAAGGACCUAAGAUGUGCUUUUUAAGCACAGUGUGGAUCAAAGGAAACUCACUAAGACAGGACUUCAGCAGCCUUUUGUGUUUGGACAAGUCAGCAUAAAUAAAGAAUGACAAGGCAGCAGCAAGAGCUUCAACUACAGAGAAGUGAAGGCAUAAGAUACUAUGAUGAUAGUGAGCAACUUUCCAAAAGCUAGUUAAAUCUGCUUAUUACAACUGAAAUAUCGAAGAAAGUCUAGCAGGAAGGAGCUCUUCGCCUUUUGGAACAUCAAUGAGAGAUAGUUGCCACAGUCACUAGGUCUAGCAUUUAGACCUGCAAGGAAGGGCAAUAAGCAUUAGGUUGAAUGAGAACCCUACUUGCCUAAAUGAGGAAUGUCUUUCCUACCAUCUAAAAUACGAAGGUUUCUGGCUGGGUAAGGUUUGUAGUUGACAGUAAAACCUGAUGACACCAUUUGUUUCCCUGCAAGUCUACAUUACAUAUUUCACAACUUUGUCCCUCUCUAGUAGGCACAUUGAUAAAAUUCUUCGACUGAAAACUACCUGGGUACCAUGUCCAACACAUUUUAAACCUUAGUUUUAAAAAUUCUCCUGCAAAAUAGCCAUAAGUAUUAAUAUCAAGUCAGUUGUGACCCCUCGUGUAUGCAAUUCAUUAUUAGUGUGUUCAGGGUAAACUCAAUUUUUGGUAAGAGAAAGUAGCUUCAGCUUUUGUGAAAACCAUUUUUGUAAUAAGCAUGACACACAACACACUAAGCUGCCAAUCCUCAUACUAGGGAAACACCUUCAGAGGAACAUUAAAAGUUACCAGGGCCAGGCACAAUGGCUCACGCCUGUAAUCCCAGCACUUUGGGAGGCUGAGGCAGAUGGAUCCCGAGUCCAGGAGUUUGAUACUAGCCUGGACAACAUAACGAGACCCUGUCAACAAAAAAUACGAAAAUUAGCUGGGCCUGGUGGUACACAUCUGUAGUCCCAGCUACUUGGGAGGCUGAGGUGGGAGGAUGCCUUGAUCCCAGGUGGUUAAGGCUGCUGUGAGCUGACUGCCCCACUGUAUUCCAGCCUGGGUGAUAGACCCCAUCUCAAGAAAAGUUACCAGAUGUCAUGGAUAAAGGUUGGUCUUCAAGUGGCCUCAUACGUUCUCUUGCAUAUAAAUUCAGGGAAUUCAUUGGACCAAUAGGUUACAUUUUGCUUCCUUUUUUGUUUUGGUUCAUGUUAGGCAGUGGGGGCCUAAUUAGUGCUCCUUUGUAAAAAGACGUUUUGCUGAAGAAUACUGAAUUACUGUUCAGACUGGUUGUUGGGUAAUAAGGGCUGUUUUUGCUGCCCCAAAAGGGCUUAACCAUUUAGGUGGUUAGUUUACUUUAAAAAACAAAAAUCCUUUGGAGACAGAUAGUGAAAAUGCAAACUAGUUUCUAAAUUACCAGUUCCCUACAGGAAGAUGCAGUUUGCCAGUGUUUAGUCUCAGAAAAUGACUGGUUGGCUCUGUAUCUAAAUCAGAACCCAAUUUCUACACGUGUUGAAUAAGGUAACAGCCUUUGAUGAAUUUCCCUCACAACAUGGUUUUAGUGAAGCAGACAAUUUUAUUUUUUAAGGGCAUUGUUCUUUCUAGUUCAUUUCUUUUUAUGAAAUAAAAUUAUUUUGUUUAAACAUAGUUCCAUUGUCGUCUCUGAAAAAUACAGUAUUCUCAUAAGUUGUAGCAGCAGUUAAAAAAAAAAUUGUUAUAUAAGUGGUUGGGGCAGAUUUAACUGAUUUUGUUAGUUAAACCAAUUUGUAGGUUACUGCUUCUAAUAUUACACUGCUAAAAAGCUGAAUUUAUACUCAUGUCCUAAAGGAGAAUAUGUGAUAAUGAAGUACAUUUGUUAAGUAACUAAUUGAAAUAGGCUUGGUUUUAAGAGUUCCGGUAUAUAAUAGUCAGAAGUUGAAACCUAAUUGACAGUAUCUCUUGGAGUUCCAGUAAUGUCACAAAUUAGUGAAUAAGCAUGCCAGUGUGCAAGGGUAAUGUAAGGAUUGUUAGCCUAUCUAAAUAUUCAAAAUUACUUUAAAACUUCAGUAUGUUUUCUGAUUUUUAAGAAUUCAGAAGUGUUCUGUAAUGGAUUCAGAUGUUUCAUUUGUAGUAUAAUGAAAUGUUUACAGAAAGAUAACUUUUUCAUUAAAAUAUUUUUAGAAA